GGCAGCUGCAACCUUCUGCUUGGUCACAUUUGAGGGUACAUCUUCACUAGUUGGUGCUCUUGAUGCAUCUCUUGCAUUGCCUGUACUCUCCUUAUUUGUUGAGGGCUUUGGCUUGUCUUUGGAUCUAAACUUAUUAAACCAACACCUAGUAGCUUCCAUUCUAUCAUGCAAUUAAUAUGCUAAGUUCUAAUCCACACCUCCCAAUGUUCAUUUUAAUUCAAC
rnacentral:misc_RNA from 1 species